AGUCAGAAGCAGAGUAUGAGGGCUGACAGUACCGAGAUAAGGAUACUAGCACGUCGAAGCGGAUUUAUGCGGGCCCUGACUGUACCUAGUUAAGGACUACUAGCCAGUCAGGAGCAGCGUAUGAGGGGUCCUGACAGUACGUAGGUAAGGACUACUAGACAGUCAGGAGCAGAGUAUGAGGGGUCCCUGACAGUAACUAGGUAAAGGAUAUAGCCAGUCAGAAGCAGAGUAUGAGGGUCCUGAC